rnacentral:rRNA from 1 species
UACAGAGGGUGCAAGCGUUGUUCGGAAUUAUUGGGCGUAAAGCGCGUGUAGGCGGCUUUGCAAGUCGGGUGUGAAAGCCCUCGGCUCAACCAAGGAAGUGCAUCCGAAACUGCUGAGCUUGAGUACUUAAGAGGAUCGCGGAAUUCCCGGUGUAGAGGUGAAAUUCGUAGAUAUCGGGAGGAACACCAGUGGCGAAGGCGGCGAUCUGGGGAAGAUACUGACGCUGAGGUGCGAAAAGCGUGGGGAGCAAACAGG